AAGUUGGAUUUCCAUCUGUAUUCAUCGGUAAAUCAUUUAUUUCUGAAAAUUUAAUUGAAAAGGAUUCCAUUUGUCUUAGUAUUGGAAAUUUACUUUGGAAUCUACUAAUGAGCUCUUAUUGGCUUGCACUUUAGUGUUUCAAUCAUGAGCCAAUUCAUUUUAAUUGAUUUUGAUGCUAUGAUCUUUAAAGGAGUAAAAGAAAGUCUUUAAGAGAGCUUUAAAAGAACUUUCAAAGUCCUGAAUUUUAUGUAUCCUACAUUGCAUAAAUUCAUAUUUUGGUAUCUAUGCCCCAAUACUUUUAUAUCAUAAAAGAACUUUGAAGUCAUUAAGAAUUAAGGAUUCAACAUAAUCUUAUGUUUUUCGAGUAUAUAAGUUUUGAUCCUUAUCUGCUCUUAUACUAUA
rnacentral:lncRNA from 1 species